rnacentral:misc_RNA from 1 species
UGAGCAACCUCAUGUAGUGCGUGUGGCUUUCUGCUUACAUUAUAUCAUUUACCUGCUACUGUUGGUGAAGUAGGACAGCUUGCAGACCAGUUGCUGUGAACAAAAAUGAUCAAAAUCCUUGAACAAUUCCUAAUACCUAUAAACAGUAACUUAUGAUUAGUACCUGUGAACAGUGCAAACAAUACCAAUGAACAGUAAAUAAAAAUAUAGGCAUCAAAAUGAGGAUAGAAUUACAUAACUGGAG